rnacentral:rRNA from 1 species
CCUACGGGAGGCUGCAGUGGGGAAUAUUGGACAAUGGGCGAAAGCCUGAUCCAGCCAUGCCGCGUGUGUGAAGAAGGCCUUCGGGUUGUAAAGCACUUUCAGUGGGGAAGAAAGCCUUGGGGCUAAUACCCUCGAGGAAGGACAUCACCCACAGAAGAAGCACCGGCUAACUCCGUGCCAGCAGCCGCGGUAAUACGGAGGGUGCGAGCGUUAAUCGGAAUUAAUGGGCGUAAAGCGCGCGUAGGCGGUCUGAUAAGCCGGUUGUGAAAGCCCCGGGCUCAACCUGGGAACGGCAUCCGGAACUGUCAGGCUAGAGUGCAGGAGAGGAAGGUAGAAUUCCCGGUGUAGCGGUGAAAUGCGUAGAGAUCGGGAGGAAUACCAGUGGCGAAGGCGGCCUUCUGGACUGACACUGACGCUGAGGUGCGAAAGCGUGGGUAGCAAACAGGAUUAGAUACCCUAGUAGUC